AGCUGGGUGUGGUGGUGCAUGCCUGUAACUGCAGCUACUCGGUAUAAGGGUAGCCAAGAGAAAGGAGAAUAGACCAAAAGUCAGGCAAGAAAUCAGAGGAGGCAGCCCUGGACUUACAAAACCAGGGGCUGUUAUAUAGGGUGAGAGGGGCAUAAGGGAGUUUCAGCACUAAGGUCAUCUAUUCGCUGUUAACAGGCACAAAGAUAGUUUGUUAACUUGUAACAGA